GGCUUCGUAGCUCAGCCGGUAGGGCGCUUGCCGCAUCGAGGCAUGGUGUUUCUGUUGCUGGUUCCAAUCCAGCCGAAGCGU
rnacentral:tRNA from 1 species